UGAGAAGCCUUCCCGGGAAGGGGGGCCGGUAAGGUCCUCAACUUGUGUGGUGGGCUCUGAGACACCACGCCGGGCUGCCCGCAGGCCCGGGCAAAGUUCCGGGGUUCGAGGCCGCCCGCAGCAGCAGCAGCAGCAGAAUUCCUUCUUUGAGCAUUGUGAUCUGACUCAAAAAGAGGGUGACCAGGGUGGCCCUGAUGCAUUGAGGUGGUGACCAUCCACUGCUCUGACCUACUCUCAGCUCUCUGCGAGACAUGGUGCUUUCAGGUGGAUGUGCCAGAUGCUAGGGUAAGUUCUUCAGGGGGAAAAAAAAUAAAAGAAUGACUUUCUCAGCUAGUGAAGGACUUUUUGGUUUAAAGGUAUGCUCUAAACUACUUUGGAAUUUGAAAAGUGUUUUCUCUUUUUUCUGUGGCAAUGACUUUGAAGGGUGGCUCAAUGCAGAGGCUAGCCUGCAGAAGCUCAUUAAAACAAAAUGGACUCCCUCAAUCACACCCCUCAGCCAACCGAGAGUUCCACCCAUCAUUCCUGCCUGGAAACACGUAGUGCCUUUGGUGGCCAGGUUCUCCUGCAAGGGCAGACGCCUGUGGACGUGUCUCCUCGCCAGGCCGGCUCCUUUAUUCAUCCUUUUCUCCCAGCGGACCCAGGUGUGAUCCUAGCUUUCUUCUAGCAUUGCCCCGCAUUCCGCAGCUGAGCUUUCUUCUCCCUUCUGCCCUGAAGACAGUGUCAUUGUUUCUUCCCGCCUUCUUCCUCUCUGUGCCAGAAAAUGACUCUGAGUGUUUCUGAGGAAUUUUACAGCUUUCAAAAGAAGAAAAGCAUAUAAGAGGUUGAAAUAACAUCACAGAGAAAUUUCAAAUUUAGAAGCAGCCUUAAGAGCUUGAUCAUUAUACCAGUUACUCAUUUUUCCUGGGAAUGCAAAUGCAACUAGGUCAGACUGUCUAUGGUUCCUUCUUUCUCUGGCCAGACAAUCCAGUCCCUUGAGCUCUCAUGAACUUGUAGGGCUGGAGCCUCUGAGAGCUGCUUCAUUUGAUGCAGAAGGCAUCGUUCUUCUUCCGAGUCCACCCAGUCUCCUUGGGAAGUCUGCACGAGGAAAAGUACAGAUGCUGAUGAAGAGGCUUGACAAAGCCUCAAGUGUGACUUUCUUGAAUUUCAGAGAAAACUCAGACGUUCAUCUUUACAGUCAUCACGUCACUCUUCACUCCGAAAGUCACGUCAGGCUGUUCUGACAGUAACAGCCCAGUCCAAGGUGUCUAUCCUUGAUGGCUGUUUUACUCUCCACCUGUUUUCUCGACUCCAGGGUAACAACCACCUCCCCACUCAGCAAACUUUGGUGAAGUACCUGCAACCAGCCAGGCACCAUGAAAGGCGCCAGGCGUAAGACACUUGCCCUUAGCCUUUCUGUACCACUUCUCAUCAUCUCAACACAUUUUUAUAGCAUCCUGCCCUAUCUCGCAAAUAUGCAUUAUUUACCUUUAAAUCACAGCCUCUGAGGAGGUUCCUGUAGACCUCAUCCACAGCACAGUUAUCCACUCUUUGGCUUCAAACAGUACAACUUUUUGUCUGCUUCUUUACCAUUUCUCUCCUUGAAUACCCCCACUGAAAGCUGAUCUAACACUGACCUCUGGAUGUUGGCGCUGCCCGAAUUACCUUGAGGUACAAAGGACAUAAUGCAUCACAGACUGUCUGAGGCUAGACCAUUCACUGGUGCUAGACCAGCAGGAGCACAUCAAUCAUUUGGGUAAAGUCAGAAUCAUCAAAGACAGACCAGAAGACUCAGCAUUCUGUAGAACUCAACGAAUAUGUAAGACCCUAGCACCUGAUCUGUGUCUUAGUUUGGUCCCUGAUACAACACAAUUAAAAAACAGGGAAUCUAUUUUUUAGACUUACCUAAAA